rnacentral:rRNA from 1 species
UACAGAGGGUGCGAGCGUUGUCCGGAAUCACUGGGCGUAAAGGGCGCGUAGGUGGUGGCUUAAGCGUGCGGUGAAAGCUCGGGGCUCGAACCCCGAGUCGGCCGUGCGAACUGGGCUCACUGGAGCAUAGUAGAGGCAGGUGGAAUUCCGGGUGUAGCGGUGGAAUGCGUAGAGAUCCGGAAGAACACCGGUGGCGAAGGCGGCCUGCUGGGCUAUGGCUGACACUGAGGCGCGACAGCGUGGGGAGCGAACGAGG